UUGUCCUUUAGCAGUUGGGGAUCUACGAGUGAGGAACAACACACUUGUUUGUUUUCCAUUUGCAGCUUACCAUUUUUUCCAGCUGCUAAAAAGGAAAAAGAAGCAGCCUGUAAUACCUAUUUUGAUUCAUAUAAGACGAAACAAGCAAAAGCUACGGGAGCAACAGUUUAGAUAUCAAUGACUAUACCUUUAGGAGUCUUUUUCUCUCUCUUUCUUGUGGGCUUAAUCUGCUUGUUCUUGUACCUCUACAAUCUUUUCUGGUGGAAGCCGCUGCGGCUCAGAAAGAAGCUUCACCAUCAGGGAAUCCAUGGCCCUGUGCCGUCCUUUUUCUUCGGCAACAUCCUUGAUAUUAAGAAGGUUCGACCGGAAAUGCAAGCCACAAAGAAUGAACAAAGCAUCAGCAAUCUCGGUUCGCAUGAUUACAUGUCCUGCCUAUUUCCCCACAUAGAGAAGUGGAGAGCCGACUAUGGUAAAUUAAUUUUUAUCUACUUCAAUCGAUGUUCACAUCUUUGUGCUCAGGAGUUUUCACUGGAUAUGUCUGUAAUAUGUGCCAGCUAUUUCUUUUGUGUGACAAGCAUAUGCAGCUUAGGAAGAUCAUCUUUGCCUGCUGAGAGCGCUAGGUUAUUGCUGGUCUGGUGUUUGCAUUCACACAGGGAAACAUGGUGAUCGUAUGCGUAUGCGACUUUGACGUAGCAAGAGAGUUCUGUCAAUGCAAGUCUGCUGAAUUCGGAAGGUCUGUAUCUGAGAAAAAACAGGGGAAUCGUGUUGGGUUAUGACAGCCUUGUCACUUCGAAAGGAAAACCCUGGGCGCUCUAGAGGAAAGUCAUUGCGCCUGAAUUCUCCAGUGACAAUAUAAAGAUGUGCAUUAGCUGGGCAGGCUCUAUCAAGUUCACAGCGGCACAGUUCUUGCUUGAGCUUUCUUUGUUCUUGCACGUGAAGCAGUUAAAUUUUUACACAGAAGCUAUCUAUAUGUUACUUGUUCUGUUUUGCAAAGGGAAUGGUGGACAUGGUGGUUGAAUCUGUCGCCCCUUUGCUGGAAAAAUGGGAAUCUCAAAUGGAGAAAGCAGGGGGAGUUGCUUCAUUACGGAUUGACAAGGAUUUAAAAAGCCUCUCUGCUGAAAUGAUUUCAAAAGCAUGUUUUGGGAGCAAUUAUGUUAUUGGCAAUGAGAUUUUUUCCAAGAUGUUAGUGCUUCAGAUUUCGCUGAGCAAGCAGCAAGCUAUUGUUGUCUUCCAGGGGUAAGGCACAUUCGUAUGAAGAUUACUCGUGACAUCUGGAGGAUAGAUAAAGAAGUCGACCGAUCUAUUCUGAAGCUGAUGGAUGAUGACUGCGAUGCCAAGGGACAGAGCUUCUUACAGGCCUUAGUCACAAUUUUGGCCGUGGAUCCAGCGUCACCGUAGAUAAUUGCAAGGCCAUGAUCUUUGCGGGACAUGAAACUACUGCCACUGCUGCUACUUCGCUGUAGUACUUUUAGCAUACCAUCUUGAGUGGCAGGAGUGCGUGCGUGCUGAGGUGGUACAGAUCCUUCAACAUCAACCCCCGAAUAUGGAUAAGCUACACAAAAUGAAAUUGGUACAUCUAAAUCUUUCUUGCUUACCAUGCAUAUGAUUCUAGAAUCCAAGAAUAUGUGCACUGGGCAGAUCGUUCAUGAAGCAGCUUCCUUGCUAGAUUUUUAGUCUAUGUCUCGACAUGUAAGCUUUAUGUGAAUACAGUAGCCACAUGUACCCCUUAGGCUUCAAAAUAAUCCAAGUAUGGGACUACUCGCCUAUCAUCUGUUUUCUCUUGAUGUGCAGUAAAAUAUGGUGAUUUACGAAACAUUUGCGCCUAUAUUCUCCUGGACCAUUCGUGACAAGAGAAAAGUCCAAGGAAAUGAAGUUUGGGGACUUUGUGAUUCCUAUAGGCGUCAAUGUCUGGUUCUCCUGCUCGCUGUUGCAUCAGGAUCCAGCCAACUGGGGCGACAAUGCCCAUGACUUCCAUCCAGAAAGGUUUGCGAAUGGCAUUUCUACGGCAUGCAAGAAUCCGAAUCUGUUUGUGCCUUUUGGGAUGGGGAUACGGACUUGUAUCGGCCAGAACUUUGUGAUGACAGAAUUAAAAAUAGUUCUGUCUCUCAUGCUGUCUAAGUUCAUUUUCUCUCUAUCCCCGGAAUACAAACACUUGGUGACGUAUAAGCUGUUUUUUGAGCCUGAACAUGGGGAACAACUGAAGAUGGAGAAGAUCUGCAAUUAUCUCUCCUGUAUGAAUGGUCUGUUGCAAUGGAAGCCGAAGCACGAAAAGUUAUAGUCGACAAAAUAGCAGCAUCAUGUUCUCUUGUGGGUGGUCAGUAGGGCUUACUUCUGUGUCAAAGCUAAGCUAAGUGACUGAAAAACUCUUGGCUACUGGAUAUCAAUAUAUUUGACGGGCGGCCGUUCUUUGAACGCAUCCAGCAAUCCUCAUAGAGAUUUUCCACGGAAGGAAGUUCUUGUUUAAUGCAAGUUAAUUAGUACUGCAGAUCUUCUGCACUCAUGUUGGACAUUUCUUAACUAGGAACUUCAGGCAUCCCAUUACCUCGAACUCUGUACGUCUUGCUGCUUGCUGUUCAUUUUGAAUGUAAUGGACAAAGCCAUGUACAAAAUCCAGCCGAGAACACAUGAGUGGUAAGUGAUUAGAUGUGCAGUUUUGUUUUAUACAGUGAUUGCAAACCUGAUUGUUCAUUAAGCUUUUCAAGUCUCUUGAUGUUGCACUUGCCUUUUAGGGGAAGAAAAAUAAUGAAACUGAUAGACGUGUUCAUUCAAAC